UAGUGUAGAGGUGAAAUUCGUAGAUAUUAGAAAGAAUACCAAUUGCGAAGGCAGCUUUCUGGAUCAUUACUGACACUGAGGAACGAAAGCAUGGGUAGCGAAGAGGAUUAGAUACCCUCGUAGUCCAUGCCGUAAACGAUGUGUGUUAGACGUUGGAAAUUUAUUUUCAGUGUCGCAGUGAAAACGAUAAACACACCGCCUGGGGAGUACGACCGCAAGGUUAAAACUCAAAUGAAUUGACGGGGACCCGCACAAGUAGUGGAGCAUGUGGUUUAAUUCGAAGAUACGCGCAGAACCUUACCAACACUUGACAUGUUCGUCGCGACUUUAAGAGAUUAAAGUUUUCGGUUCGGCCGGACGAAACACAGGUGCUGCAUGGCUGUCGUCAGCUCGUGUCGUGAGAUGUUGGGUUAAGUCCCGCAACGAGCGCAACCCUCACUUUUAGUUGCCAUCAUUUAGUUGGGCACUCUGAAAGAACUGCCAGUGAUAAGCUGGAGGAAGGUGGGGAUGACGUCAAGUCCUCAUGGCCCUUACGUGUUGGGCUACACACGUGCUACAAUGGUAUAUACAACAGGAAGCAAGACGGCGACGUUAAGCAAAUCCUCAAAAGAUACCUCAGUUCGGAUUGCACUCUGCAACUCGAGUGCAUGAAGCUGGAAUUACUAGUAAUCGUGGAUCAGCGUGCCACGGUGAAUGCGUUCCCGGGUCUUGUACACACCGCCCGUCACACCAUGGGAGUUGGUUCUACCUUAAGGCAAGGUUUAAAACCCUUGACCACGGUAUAGUCAGCGACUGGGGUGAAGUCGUAACAAGGU
rnacentral:rRNA from 1 species